AUACUAAUGGAAAUGACAUUUGAAAAGGGACUGAUGUGUGUAUAAACUGUCACUGGCAGGUCCUAAAAGUACCUUUUCAUGUGGGCAUUCAGUAUGAUGACAUUUUCCAGGUUAUGAGCAUAGAUUAGAAGUUAUGAAAUUCAGAGCCUAUAAAGGCAUGUUCAAUCUGUAUCUCUUAGAGGGUAAAGAGUUCUGAAAACUUGAUUUAUGGAAUAAAAUAUUAACCCAGGACAUUGUUAAGGAUAUCAUAAUUUUUUGUUUAUUGUUUUGAUCUGAGGAUGGAGGCUUAAAAACGUUUUUGUUUUUUCUUGGCCUGUAUGAAAUCCACUGCGAUGCAACCCUGGGAUAGUGAAUUGGAUUCCUUUAGCUCGUGUACCCAGCAUCUUGGUCAGUCAUAGAUGAGGGUCCAUCUGACCUAAUAGUAAUACUAAUACAAUGCAUAUGUGAGAGUGCAGAAUGUUCAAAGCUCUUCCAUCUAUAUCAACUAUUUUCUCCUCUCACACAAUUCUAUAACUGGUCUCAUUUUGUAGUUAAAUCAACAGGGGAUGAGAGAUUUAAGUGACUUCUACAACAUUAUAGAGUCAGAAAUGGAGCUAGGAGAUGCAUUAAGGCCUUUGAAAUCUGCUCUUACACAUAUGUUUCCUAGUAGUGUCAGCUGUUGACCAUCAAAUGUAUGUGUAGCUUAUAUUGUUCUCAGAAAUUUAAAAAAAAGAAAAGGAAAAGAGAAAAGAAAAAGGAGGAAAAAAAGAGAAGAAUAGAAAAGAAAGAAACAACUUUUGGAGUUUUGGCAGAAAUAUUUCUAGUGCCCUAAAAUGAAGACAAGGCCUCAGAUUCCAAGGGCACAGAUGUGUGGCAUGCAGUGAAGUGGCCACUAGCCAGACAGCCAAAUCCCCAUCCAGGGAAUCCUCGGUGCUGGUGCCAGGGGAAUAGAGUGGGGGAGGGGCAAUAAAUGACCAGUGUGCCCAAUAAAAUGAAAAGGCCAAAAUGUUGCUUGCUCAGCUUAGCUUACUAUUUUAACCAAAAGUUUGGAAGCCAUAGCUAAUGAAGGUAUCCAAAAAACGUUUGAAUAGUUGCUGUAUGCAAUAGCCUGGAAAAUGAGAAUGCAAAGACAAACAGAAGGAAUGAUACUGUGGGUCUAUGUGUCCUUCGUGCUGCAAUGAGAAUAACUCAGCUCACUGGAAACUUCCAGGGAAGAUGGCAACUUUCCAGGAGCAAUUGUUUUGGGAUUCUUUUCCCAAGUGUUUUUAUAUUUUAACAGGUCUAACAAUUUUAGUCAUGAAUGAGAAAUCAAGCAA
rnacentral:lncRNA from 10 species